GGGAUGACCUCCUCCCUUCACAGUGGAACUCUACACGUGGCUCAGUCGGUGGAGAUGGAUCGGACGAACUCGCAUCAACCUUCAUCUUCCCUUUUUGACCAGCCGUGACACCAUCUGAGCCAGAUCGGAUGCCCCCAUUGGUCCUCGGAGUACCUGAGCCUCUGUGGUUAGUUGACAUCACUGCCUCGCCUCCGGAAGAGGAGACCCCCUUCCCACCAAAAGCUGGAGUAAAAUCCGAUCCGGAUGGAUCGCAGUCCAUAGCAGCUUCAGCCUGAAAGAAGACCUAAACCUCGGCGCCUUCGGCCGGAAAGACCAAAGCCGGUUUGCUGGAGUUUCUCUCCCAAGUCUCUUCUCUCACAAGGCAGACUUUCGAUCACUGGAUAGACUAGCGGUGACACCUUCGGCACCCUCGGCUGGAAGAAGACCAAACCCCUCUGCACCUUCGACACCUCCGACCGAAGAGGAUCAAACCCUCGGCACCUUCGAUCAGAAGAAGAACCCAAACCCUAACGCAAAUCGAUGAACAAAGAGGGCUUUUUCGGUCGCUGGAGUUUCUCUCCCUAGUCCGUCUCUCACCAGACGGUCUUUGGUCACUAACAACAUGGUGUACUUAAACGAUCCACUCUAACACCCUCGGCAGAAUAUCAGCUGUAAGAAUUUUUUGCGAUAACAAAGCCAACUGAGGAUUUUGAUUUUCUCGGAAAUUGAUA
rnacentral:lncRNA from 1 species